AUGAAGUCGGAAUUGCUAGUAAUCGCAGAUCAGCAUGCUGCGGUGAAUACGUUCCCGGGCCUUGUACACACCGCCCGUCACACCAUGGGAGUCGGUAACACCCGAAGCCUGUAGUCUAACCGCAAGGAGGACGCAGUCGAAGGUGGGAUUGAUGACUGGGGUGAAGUCGUAACAAGGUAUC
rnacentral:rRNA from 1 species